UAACAGCAAGGAGGCAGUUUAUAUAAGACUGUCUUCUUCAUGGGGAAGAACAUUGAGGUAUAUCAAAUUCAAAGGCCGAGAUAUCGUUUCAGACGUCAUAUUUUCUCCAUUGACGAUCUGGUUGUUGCUCGUCCACAC
rnacentral:snoRNA from 1 species